GGUUCGAAUCAGAUUCAUCAUCGAAUUUUCCGGUAACGAAGACUUUGAGAAGACUUUGAAUCGUUGGUACGAAACCCUUAUACCCUUGGUAAAGCAGAGAGUAUGUCUAAACAAUGUCCGCGGAAGGCAGGCUCAUGAACAUGGCAUCGGGGGUUAAUGAACAAAUGGCGAAUGGGUGAAGACGAGGAAGCUUGAGGUUAGGAAGAGGUACAUGGUUGUGCGGGACUGCUCUGGUUCACGGUACGGGGCUGCUGACUCGUAUUCUCUUCCUUGUGUCAAAGCUGCAGGGAUGGCAUUAAACAAGUGAAUGAUGAAGCAAGGCUGGUGGUUAUGAAGAGAUUCUAAGCAAACUUGAAAAUCAACCUGAUCAUGAUGUACAGAAGCAGCUUGUGGAUGAAUAUGGAUUUGAGAUUCAUAGAGGCGAACGGUAAUGAAUGACGAUGAAGCCUGAUGCAGCUUGAAAGAAUAUUGGACAUAGGCUUAGGAACAGGAUUUUCUCUUUUGCAUUUGUAAUUGAAAUUUGUAAUGGAUUCGGGUUUUUGUAUGAACAUUUGAAUUUGUAACAGAACAUCUCUUUAUGGAUGAAGUUGAAUUGUAACAGAAUCUUGUGUAGAUGAGGUAUUGA